AUUUCUAGAUCUCCAGUUCUUUGACUACUCAUCACCUUUGUUAAAUAUAAAAAUAUUUAAACACCGUUCUCUAACAGCUUAAGCUUUUAGAGUACAACGGGUGUUUCACAUGGUAUCAGAGCAGGAGGUCCUAAGUUCGAGUCACGCCAGGCUCCUAGUAUAUUAAUUUCCUCCCAUUUAAUUCAAGCCUACGUCAUGGGCCGAUUAAAAAGUCUCGAGCCCAAACGUGAGGGGGAGUGUUAAAUAUAAAAAUAUUUAAACACCGUUCUCUAACAGCUUAAGCUUUUAGAGUACAACGGUUGUUUCACAACCUUCACCUCUGAGGCUGUACAGAUACAAAAUUAAGGUAAUUUUAGUUUUUUUU
rnacentral:lncRNA from 1 species